UAUCAUUCUUUUUUCAUUUCCGUGCCAUACGUAUUAGUCUACAGAUAUAUAAAUUACAUUUUCAACAAAGGCCUACUGUACCAAUCAUCAGCCUGUGGCUGAGAUUCCUCUCUGGCACUAAUUUUAGGGGGACCUGUUUUGUCGAAGAAACAAUUCAAUUUAAUAUUUGAUAGCCAUUGUUGUCAUUGGAGAUAUUUGCUGUAUGAAAUGCUGAUAUUAUAGGCUGUUGAUUAGAAAGGUAAUUUACUAGCAGUGUUUUAUCA